ACGUAGGGUGCAAGCGUUGUUCGGAAUCAUUGGGCGUAAAGCGCGUGUAGGUGGCUAUGCAAGUCAGGUGUGAAAGCCCUCGGCUCAACCGAGGAAGUGCACUUGAAACUAUGUAGCUUGAGGAUGGUAGAGGGAGAUGGAAUUCCUAGUGUAGAGGUGAAAUUCGUAGAUAUUAGGAGGAAUACCAGCGGCGAAGGCGGUCUCCUGGGCCAUUCCUGACACUGAGACGCGAAAGCGUGGGUAGCAAACAGG
rnacentral:rRNA from 1 species